rnacentral:rRNA from 1 species
AUACGUAUGGUGCAAGCGUUGUUCGGAAUCACUGGGCGUAAAGCGCGCGCAGGCGGAUUGUUAAGUCGGAUGUGAAAUCUCCGGGCUCAACCCGGAAGCUGCAUCCGAUACUGGCGAUCUAGAGUCCCGGAGAGGUAGGCGGAAUUCUCGGUGUAGCGGUGAAAUGCGUAGAUAUCGAGAGGAAUACCGAUGGCGAAGGCAGCCUACUGGACGGUGACUGACGCUCAGGCGCGAAAGCGUGGGUAGCAAACGGGAUUAGAUACCCUAGUAGUCC